UCUAAUAUGGCAGAAAAGUGCGGUGGGUUUAAGCUCCAUAUAUAAAGUUUUAACUUUUGUUAGAA
rnacentral:tRNA from 1 species